UGGCGGGCGCGCCUAAUACAUGCAAGUCGAGCGAGAAGGUGUAGCAAUACACUUGUAAAGCGGCAAACGGGUGAGGAAUGCAUGGGUAACCUACCCUCGAGUGGGGAAUAACUAGCCGAAAGGUUAGCUAAUACCGCAUACGUUUCCGGAACUUCGGUUUCGGAAAGAAAGCAAUACCGUGGGUAUUGCGCUCCUGGAUGGGCUCAUGUCCUAUCAGCUUGUUGGUGAGGUAACGGCUCACCAAGGCUUCGACGGGUAGCUGGUCUGAGAGGACGAUCAGCCACACUGGCACUGCGACACGGGCCAGACUCCUACGGGAGGCAGCAGUAAGGAAUAUUGCGCAAUGGACGAAAGUCUGACGCAGCGACGCCGCGUGGGGGAUGAAGGUCUUCGGAUUGUAAACCCCUUUCGGGAGGGAAGAUGGAGUGGGUAACCACUUGGACGGUACCUCCAGAAGCAGCCACGGCUAACUUCGUG
rnacentral:rRNA from 1 species